rnacentral:rRNA from 1 species
UACGGAGGAUGCAAGCGUUAUCCGGAAUGAUUGGGCGUAAAGCGUCCGCAGGUGGCUGUGUAAGUCUGCUGUUAAAGAGUGAGGCUCAACCUCAUAAAAGCAGUGGAAACUACACAGCUAGAGUGCGUUCGGGGCAGAGGGAAUUACUGGUGUAGCGGUGAAAUGCGUAGAGAUCAGGAAGAACACCGGUGGCGAAGGCGCUCUGCUAGGCCGCAACUGACACUGAGGGACGAAAGCUAGGGGAGCGAAUGGG